CUCAGGCAGGCCUUUCUGGAGCAGGUAGGCCACGUUGGUGUCCAACCGGUUUUGCAGGUAGUUCAACCAUUGCCGGGGGACUACCUCCACCUCCCAGCCCUUGUUCAUCUUUUCCGGACCUGGGGCGGUGAUAUCACCAGAGACGCCCCAAAUCAGGUUCAUACUGAUCUUGUUGAUAUUGGCCAUUUUGCUCUCUU
rnacentral:antisense_RNA from 1 species